UACGAAGGGGGCUAGCGUUGUUCGGAAUGACUGGGCGUAAAGAGCACGUAGGCGGAUUCUUAAGUUAGGGGUGAAAUCCCAAGGCUCAACCUUGGAACUGCCUUUAAUACUGGGAGUCUUGAGUUCGGGAGAGGUAAGUGGAACUGCAAGUGUAGAGGUGAAAUUCGUAGAUAUUUGCAAGAACACCAGUGGCGAAGGCGACUUACUGGACCGAUACUGACGCUGAGGUGCGAAAGCGUGGGGAGCAAACAGG
rnacentral:rRNA from 1 species